GGUUCGAUGGUGUAGUUGGUUAUCACGUCAGUCUAACAUCAGUUAGUUCACUGAAGGUCUCCAGUUCAAGUCUGGGUCGAAUCA